rnacentral:rRNA from 1 species
UACGAAGGGGGGCUAGCGUUGCUCGGAAUCACUGGGCGUAAAGGGUGCGUAGGCGGGUCUUUAAGUCAGGGGUGAAAUCCUGGAGCUCAACUCCAGAACUGCCUUUGAUACUGAAGAUCUUGAGUCCGGGAGAGGUGAGUGGAACUGCGAGUGUAGAGGUGAAAUUCGUAGAUAUUCGCAAGAACACCAGUGGCGAAGGCGGCUCACUGGCCCGGUACUGACGCUGAGGCACGAAAGCGUGGGGAGCAAACAGG